AUGGUGCUUGGAUGGACAAAAGAAGCGAACAUAUACAGAUCUAAUGAACGCGCUGAAUUGGUUUCUGUUCAGCAUUUCUCACUGGACUACCAGAGAAAGGAAAUUAAAUCAACUCACGACAGCUAUCUUGCACAUCUCACCUGGGAAGGUAUGCAUAAGGCGAAGAUCAUGAAUUGUGAAAUGUUCAUAAAGUUUGGUCAUGUCCAGAGAGCUUGAAAAAGACAUUUUGAAACAGCUAAACUCAAAGGCAAAAGAGUGAUUUCCUGAUGCAUAUAAAUAGCUGCUAACAUUAAUUUUUUAAGACUCUUAGCAGUAAGGUCAAACAAGGUUUCUUUCUCUGUGUUUUGAUUGUCCUCUAAGUUGUCAGUUCUGACAAAGGAAAAAGGCAGCUGGAAAUGAGAGGAAACAAAAAGCAGAUCUUGUCUCAGCUCACAGGCAUUAAAAUGAAAGACACGCAUCCUGCAAGGGAAAGCGGAGCUCUGCUCUCGCCUCACAAGCUGGAGAGGUAAGUAAGGAGCAAACAUCACUAAAGAAUGUUUAUUCACUGCUGGCUUGCAGUUCGCUCUCUGGAGGACUUUCUGUACGAGGUGUAAAAAUCCAAGCAAUAUGACCUUCCCAGAGACAUCUUCACAGAGUACUCUUCAGUAUAAGCCUCUAAAGGCAAAAUAAAUAAACUAAAGGAAUCCCCUAACA
rnacentral:lncRNA from 1 species